AAAAUGUUAAGCUACUGAUAUUGCGGAGUUUUGAAUACUGAAUCUCGUAUGAGAACAUGAAAAACAUUUGGAAUAUUGGUUCACACUUUAAAAUAUUACAUAAUACAAAAAGGAAGAAGGUGUAAGAGCAAUGGAAACACUAAUAUUAAAAAUAUUAAGAUUGAAGAGUAAGUAAAUAUUAUAAAAAGUAGCUCAAGCGUAUCAUUUGUUCCUCUCAUAAUCUGUCAUAAUUAAGGUUGGGGUUGCAUUUUUCAAUGUCAUUAGCUACAUAGAUCACGUAACUGAAUAGAAAUAUUUCUUGAAAUCAUAUCCAUGUAAUUGCUCCAUAUCCUCUAGUGCUAUCCUGUAAAAUAAAUCAAAAGGAGCAAUAACUUGCUAUUUCAAAAAAUAAGUGAGUGUAUUUUUUUGUUCAUCACAUAAUCAAUGUUGGACUUGAAUGUUGACGUUGCCAUACUUAUGUGAGAAGUAACAGAGAGCUAGCUUGAGGAAAAAAUUUAUUUCAUGUACUAACUCGAAAGAGAUCUUAAAAUGACAUUAGAUACAAUUUCUGAUCACUUUCUAAAAGUUCAAUCAUGAUUAAUCAAGCAAGAUUGUCGCACUGAAGCCCCAGAAUACUUUUUAACUAAUGUUAUAAAAUACUUAAAUGACGGUCAAUGCAUCAACAAAAAGUUUGUAAUGGAUUAAAGUAAGAAUCGAACUUACCUAAAUAUCGCGAUAAAUAUAUCCAUAUGAUGAAAAUAUUUUAACCCUUUAGUCAUUAAAAAGUGCAAUCAUCAAAAGCAGGGCAUUAAAAGAAUGGGAAGAGAACUUAGAACAUGAAAUCUAUCAGUAAAUGCAUAGCACAAUUCCUGAUGCAACAUAUAUGUUGCCAGCAAAACGUGAUUUGUCCUUUUCUUUCUUGGAAAUUUGAACUCUAACUCCCUAAUAAUAUUUUUCUUGCAAAUCUAAUUCUGAGUUCAAAAGCUUCUUCUUCUCUUCUUUUUCUUUUUUUUUGGUCGAUGUAUAUAUGUUAUUUGUAUUAAGUUUUAUAAAGAAUAAACUGGGUGAA
rnacentral:lncRNA from 1 species